rnacentral:rRNA from 1 species
AUGCUCCCCACGCUACUCGGCGGCUACCUCACCGUCUCCGCGCUACCGCACCCAACCGCGACAGCGACUCCGCGCGCACGCGUACUCCCUGGUCUCAGGCCCUCCUCCCGCCUCGUCGCCCGCCGAAGCGCAGGGGAAACUGUACACGCAACGGCCACAGAAGAGGAGGAGCAGGAGUGGAAGGAGCUCCAGGAGGAGGGGCUCCCGAUGCGGGGGCAGCACGCCGAGGAUGACCACGACCACGACCCCGAGAUCGCGGACAUUAUGGGGGAUUACUUCGACGACCCCAAGAAAGCCCAGUCCCGUAUGGAGGAAAGGAUAAAGAAGAAGCGGCACAAGAUCGUGCAGGCCAAGACCGGCUCGCCCAAUCCCAUGAAGGUCGUCUUCAACAAGUUUGAUUUCUCCAAUUCAUAUAUAUGGUUUGAGUUCUACAAUGCUCUAUUGCCAAAAGAUGUGAAAUUAAUUUGUGAUACUCUGCGAUCAUGGCAUAUACUUGGACGCCUUGGUGGGUGCAAUUCCAUGAAUAUGCAGCUAUCACAGUUGAGUUUAGAUUGUAAAAGACCAACUUAUGAUGCUCUUGAAGCAGCAAACACCACACCAACAUCCUUUUACAACAUUGGUGAUCUAGAGAUUCAAGAGAACCUAGCACGUGUCUGGUGUGGAUUCUUUCUCUAG